AUUGAACGCUGGCGGCAGGCCUAACACAUGCAAGUCGAGCGGAUGAAGGGAGCUUGCUCCUGGAUUCAGCGGCGGACGGGUGGGUAAUGCCUAGGAAUCUGCCUGGUAGUGGGGGAUAACGUCCGGGAACGGGCGCUAAUACCGCAUACGUCCUGAGGGAGAAAGUGGGGGAUCUUCGGACCUCACGCUAUCAGAUGAGCCUAGGUCGGAUUAGCUAGUUGGUGGGGUAAAGGCCUACCAAGGCGACGAUCCGUAACUGGUCUGAGAGGAUGAUCAGUCACACUGGAACUGAGACACGGUCCAGACUCCUACGGGAGGCAGCAGUGGGGAAUAUUGGACAAUGGGCGAAAGCCUGAUCCAGCCAUGCCGCGUGUGUGAAGAAGGUCUUCGGAUUGUAAAGCACUUUAAGUUGGGAGGAAGGGCAGUAAGUUAAUACCUUGCUGUUUUGACGGUACCAACAGAAUAAGCACCGGCUAACUUCGUG
rnacentral:rRNA from 1 species